GCAUCUCUGGACGCGCUCGUUC
rnacentral:miRNA from 1 species